CACGUAGGGGGCAAGCGUUGUCCGGAUUUAUUGGGCGUAAAGCGCUUGUAGGCGGCACGUCAAGUCGCGUGUGAAAUCCCCAGGCUUAACCUGGGAAGUGCGCGCGAAACUGACGAGCUUGAGUGCCGGAGAGGGUCGCGGAAUUCCCGGUGUAGAGGUGAAAUUCGUAGAUAUCGGGAGGAACACCAGUGGCGAAGGCGGCGACCUGGACGGACACUGACGCUGAGACGCGAAAGCGUGGGGAGCAAACAGG
rnacentral:rRNA from 1 species